GGGGGUGAACGGUUUCGACUCCGGAUGUUGAUCUUGGGGAAGCGUGCCGAGGAAGGCGACGAUGAUCUCGAAAACCAUGCGUCGCAAAAAAACAAGUGCCGCUGAUAAGCGCACUGACUUCGCCCUCGCCGCCUGAGCGAGUAAGAAGUCUGUCGGCCCGGGUGUGAUCCCCGACCCGGUCGCCGGCAUCAGCUAGGGGGUCUCACCUGUCCACCCGGUCGCGGGGUGGGCGGGGACAUCGAACAGCGACUGGGAUCGUCACACCGGCUCGUCCGCGUGACCGGUGGAUCCGAGUAGAGGCACAGCGGACUGCGCACGGAGAAGCCCAAGUGAAGCAACGGAGGACCCGGGUUCGAUUCCCGGCACCUCCACCG
rnacentral:tmRNA from 1 species